GGUUACUGUUUUAUGUCACAUCAUUGUAAAGAUAAUGUUGUGCGUAAGACAGCAACUAA
rnacentral:pre_miRNA from 1 species